AUGUCUAAGUGAGAGUCUCCUAAAGAGCCUGAACAGCUGCAGAAACUAUUCUUUGGAGGGUUGAGCUUUGAAACGACUCAUGAGAGUCUGAGGAGCCAUUCUGAGCAAUGGGGAACGCUCACAGACUGCGUGGUAAUGAGAGAUCCAAACACCAAGCGCUCCAGGGGCUUUGGGUUUGUCACAUACGCCACCGUGGAGGAGGUGGAUGCAGCAAUGAAUGCAAGGCCACACAAGGUGGAUGGAAGAGUUGUGGAACCAAAGAGAGCUGUUUCCAGAGAAGAUUCUCAAAGACCUGGUGUCCACUUAACUGUGAAAAAGAUCUUUGUUGGUGGCAUUAAAGAAGAUACUGAAGAACAUCACUUAAGAGACUAUUUUGAACAGUAUAGGAAAAAUGAAUUGAUUGAAAUCAUGACUGACCGAGGCAGGGGCAAGAAGAGGGGCUUUGCUUUUGUUACGUUUGAUGACCAUGAUUCUGUGGAUAAGAUUGUCAUUCAGAAAUAUCAUACUGUGAAUGGCCACAACUGUGAAGUAAGGAAAGCCCUGUCAAAGCAAGAGAUGGCUAGUGCUUCAUCCAGCCAAAAAGGUUGAAGUGGUUCUGGAAACUUUGAGGGGGGUCGUGGAGGUGGUUUUGGUGGAAAUGACAACUUUGGCCGUGGAGGAAACUUCAGUGGUCAUGGUGGCUUUGGUGGCAGCCGUGGUGGUGGUGGAUAUGGUGGCACUGGGGAUGGCUACAAUGGAUUUGGUAAUGAUGGAAGCAAUUUUAGAGGUGGGGGAAGUUACAAUGAUUUUGGCAGUUAUAACAAUCGAUCAUCGAAUUUUGGACCCACGAAGGGAGGAAAUUUUGAGGCAGAAGCUUUGGCCCUUACGGUGGUGGCGGCCAAUACUUUGCCAAACCAUGAAACCAAUGUGGCUAUGGUGGUUCCAAUAGCAGCAAUAGCUAUGGCAGUGGCAGAAGGUUUUAA